rnacentral:rRNA from 1 species
AACGAACGCUGGCGGCGUGCCUAACACAUGCAAGUCGAGCGAGAAAGUCCCUUCGGGGAGCGAGUACAGCGGCGAACGGGUGAGUAACACGUAGGUAACCUACCCUGGAGACUGGGAUAACCUGCCGAAAGGCGGGCUAAUACUAGAUAAGACCACGAGAGCUGCGGCUCUUGGGGUAAAAGGUGGCCUCUACUUGUAAGCUACCACUCCGGGAUGGGCCUGCGCGCCAUUAGCUAGUUGGUGAGGUAACGGCUCACCAAGGCUUAGAUGGCUAGCUGGUCUGAGAGGAUGGCCAGCCACACUGGGACUGAGACACGGCCCAGACUCCUACGGGUGGCUG